GCGGCGCGUCUUGAGCAUGCAAGUCGAACGGCAAGAGAAGAGCUUGCUCUUCUCCUAGAGUGCGGACUGGUGAGUAACACGUGGGUGAUCUACCCUUGAGAUGGGGAUAGCCGUUAGAAAUAGCGGGUAAUACCGAAUACACUCAUUUUCAUAAAGGGAGAUGAGGAAAGGAAGCUAUGGCUUCGCUCGAGGAUGAGCUUGCGUCCCAUUAGCUAGUUGGUGAGGUAAGAGCCCACCAAGGCGACGAUGGGUAUCCGGCCUGAGAGGGUGAACGGACACAUUGGGACUGAGAUACGGCCCAAACUCCUACGGGAGGCAGCAGCUAAGAAUAUUCCGCAAUGGACGGAGGUCUGACGGAGCGACGCCGCGUGGAUGAAGAAGGCUGAAAAGUUGUAAAAUCCUUUUGCUGAUGAAGAAUAAGGGUAGGAGGGAAUGCCUAU
rnacentral:rRNA from 1 species